UGCCAGCCGCCGCGGUAAUACGGAGGGUACGAACGUUAAUCGGAAUUACUGGGCGUAAAGCGCGCGUAGGCGGUUCGCUAAGUGGGAUGUGAAAGCCCCGGGCUUAACCUGGGAAUUGCAUUCCAAGCUGGCGAACUAGAGUAUGGUAGAGGGUAGUAGAAUUUCCUGUGUAGCGGUGAAAUGCGUAGAUGUAGGAAGGAAUACCGAUGGCGAAGGCAGCUGCCUGGACCAAUACUGACGCUGAGGUGCGAAAGCGUGGGGAGCAAACAGGAUUAGAUA
rnacentral:rRNA from 1 species